UAGGCACCGUGGGGGAAGGCUCUUACACCACUAUGCCAGCUAAAGAUUGAAGAAGGAUCUGCACAGCAUCCCGCCUUGAGGCACGCUCUCGAUGGUCAGUGCAGCCUCAGCCCAUCUGCUGACAGCUCUGCAGCCUGCUCCUGGACCAGAUGAACAGCUAUUGCCAUCUACUGUUGGAAAAACCAUCAGCAGCAGGAGCCUAUCCGACUGCCCGCCUUCAGAGCACAGCCAAAAUGUAGAAAACAGAUGAUCAAGCCGUAGCAGAGCAGCUUACUCCAUCGAAAACUGAACUACAAGAUUCAACUGAACAAGGAGAGGCAGAAAAGGAGUCUCUUACUCCUAAAUCACUCUCGCUUUAUGUCUGGUAUACCUGGGAACUAUGCAUAAAUCCAGACUUCAACAACUGUUCUUUUUGAACGGAUCAGUUUGUAAAAUUCCCCCAAGUUCUGUGGCUGGAGUCGAAUCACACAAAGUAAAAGAUUA
rnacentral:lncRNA from 1 species